CCACCGGAGCUUGCUCCAUCGGAAAAAGAGGAGUGGCGAACGGGUGAGUAACACGUGGGUAACCUGCCCAUCAGAAGGGGAUAACACUUGGAAACAGGUGCUAAUACCGUAUAACAAUCGAAACCGCAUGGUUUUGAUUUGAAAGGCGCUUUCGGGUGUCGCUGAUGGAUGGACCCGCGGUGCAUUAGCUAGUUGGUGAGGUAACGGCUCACCAAGGCGACGAUGCAUAGCCGACCUGAGAGGGUGAUCGGCCACAUUGGGACUGAGACACGGCCCAAACUCCUACGGGAGGCAGCAGUAGGGAAUCUUCGGCAAUGGACGAAAGUCUGACCGAGCAACGCCGCGUGAGUGAAGAAGGUUUUCGGAUCGUAAAACUCUGUUGUUAGAGAAGAACAAGGAUGAGAGUAACUGUUCAUCCCUUGACGGUAUCUAACCAGAAAGCCACGGCUAACUACGUGCCAGCAGCCGCGGUAAUACGUAGGUGGCAAGCGUUGUCCGGAUUUAUUGGGCGUAAAGCGAGCGCAGGCGGUUUCUUAAGUCUGAUGUGAAAGCCCCCGGCUCAACCGGGGAGGGUCAUUGGAAACUGGGAGACUUGAGUGCAGAAGAGGAGAGUGGAAUUCCAUGUGUAGCGGUGAAAUGCGUAGAUAUAUGGAGGAACACCAGUGGCGAAGGCGGCUCUCUGGUCUGUAACUGACGCUGAGGCUCGAAAGCGUGGGGAGCAAACAGGAUUAGAUACCCUGGUAGUCCACGCCGUAAACGAUGAGUGCUAAGUGUUGGAGGGUUUCCGCCCUUCAGUGCUGCAGCUAACGCAUUAAGCA
rnacentral:rRNA from 1 species